GACGUAGGAUGCGAGCGUUGUCCGGAUUUAUUGGGCGUAAAGAGUUCGUAGGGGGUUUGUUAAGUCUGGUGUUAAAGACUGGGGCCCAACCCCGGGACAGCACUGGAUACUGGCAGACUGGAGUGCAGUAGAGGCAAGCGGAAUUCCAGGUGUAGCGGUGAAAUGCGUAGAUAUCUGGAAGAACACCGGUGGCGUAAGCGGCUUGCUGGGCUGUAACUGACACUGAGGAACGAAAGCCAGGGUAGCGAAUGGG
rnacentral:rRNA from 1 species